AGUGAACGCUGGCGGUAGGCCUAACACAUGCAAGUCGAACGGCAGCACAGUAAGAGCUUGCUCUUACGGGUGGCGAGUGGCGGACGGGUGAGGAAUACAUCGGAAUCUACUUUUUCGUGGGGGAUAACGUAGGGAAACUUACGCUAAUACCGCAUACGCCCUACGGGUGAAAGCAGGGGAUCUUCGGACCUUGCGCGAUUGAAUGAGCCGAUGUCGGAUUAGCUAGUCGGCGGGGUAAAGGCCCACCAAGGCGACGAUCCGUAGCUGGUCUGAGAGGAUGAUCAGCCACACUGGAACUGAGACACGGUCCAGACUCCUACGGGAGGCAGCAGUGGGGAAUAUUGGACAAUGGGCGCAAGCCUGAUCCAGCCAUACCGCGUGGGUGAAGAAGGCCUUCGGGUUGUAAAGCCCUUUUGUUGGGAAAGAAAAGCAGCAGGUUAAUACCCCGCUGUUCUGACGGUACCCAAAGAAUAAGCACCGGCUAACUUCGUG
rnacentral:rRNA from 1 species